GGGGGCGUGGUGGAACGGGAAGACACUGAAGGCUUAAAACCUUCUGUCCGCAAGGACGUGCAGGUUCGAAUCCUGCCGCCCCUACCA
rnacentral:tRNA from 1 species